rfam:Perkinsus marinus ATCC 50983 gcontig_1104296277646, whole genome shotgun sequence.
GCUGGAAUGGUCUAGUUGGUUAUGACGACUGCCUCACACGCAGUAGGUCCCGAGUUCGAUUCUCGGUUCCAGUA